ensembl:snoRNA SNORD15 Small nucleolar RNA SNORD15
CUUCAGUGAUGACAUGAUGACGAGUCAGAAAGGGCACAUCCUUGCUUUUGGUCCUUGUCAGUGCCACGUUCUGUGGUGCUGUGCAUGGGUUCCUUUUGCAAGUGUCCUGUUCAUUGAUUGAUUAUAGAGGCAUUUGUCUGAGAAGG